rnacentral:rRNA from 1 species
GCGCAGCAGGCGCGAAAACUCCGCAAUGCGCGAAAGCGUGACGGGGUCACCCCGAGUGCCGUCCGCUGAGGAUGGCUUUUGCCUGGUCUAACCAGCCGGGUGAAUAAGGGGAGGGCAAGUCUGGUGUCAGCCGCCGCGGUAAUACAGGCCGCCCGAGUAGUGACCACUAUUAUUGGGCCUAAAGCGUCCGUAGCCGGUUUUGUAAGUUUCUGGGUAAAUCCCACAGCUUAACUGCGGGAAUUCCAGAAAUGCUGCAGAGCUAGGGGCCGGGAGACGCAGAAGGUACUCCUGGGGUAGGGGUGAAAUCCUAUAAUCCUAGGGGGACCACCAGUGGCGAAGGCGUUCUGCGAGAACACGCCCGACGGUGAGGGAUGAAAGCUGGGGGAGCGAACCGGAUUAGAUACCCGGGAGUCC